CAAUAUGAGAAUAGUGUGCCCUAAAUAUUCAAAGGCACUAGAUCCCAUUUGAUCUUGGCAGCUAAGCAGGGUCAGCUCUGGUUAGGACUUGGAUGGUAGACCACAAAUGAACACCAGGUGCUGUAUAGC
rnacentral:rRNA from 1 species